GGCGAAGUAGCCAAGUGGUAAGGCAGGGCUCUGCAAAAGCCCCAUCGACAGUUCGAUUCUGUCCUUCGCCUCCA
rnacentral:tRNA from 1 species